CUGAGAUUAAAAUUCUCUUAUCAGACUGAGGAAAUGGCUCAGUGGAUAAAGCACUUACCAUGCAAAUAUGAGGACUUCAGUUCAGAUCCCCAGUAUGCAUGGAAAAGUCUGAGGCUCAUUGGUAAUUCCAGCAGUCCUGUGGUGAGAUAGGAAGCAGAGACACAAGAAUUCCCAGAAUCCUCUGCUUCUGUCGAUCUGGCAUCUGGUAUACAUACAGUGCUGAAUAACAAGAGACUCAGUCUCAAACAAGGUAAUAGGAGAAGACCACAAUCUGAAGUCAGCCUCUAACCUCCACAAAUGUGUUGUGGCAAAUGUAUCUGAACUCACAGACACGAACACACACACCCCCACCCCCCACACUUUUUAAAAUCUCUGGUUUGUUAAUCAUAUUUCACAAGCAUUAUACUAAAGAAUUUAUGCCUGUAUGUCGUUACUUGCUCUUAGUUACCCUUAAUUCAUAUGGUAAAAUGGGCACUGAGUCAUGUACUGAUGUAGAGGUUUAAUUUCCACCCACUCACAGUACCUUAAAAUGCCUCUCCAGCUCAUUAUUCCACAAAGAAUCAGAAAAAAGUGUUUUCAACCAUCCACGAAUUUGCCUCAUGCUAAAGGUUCAGUAUGAAAAGUGCUUUCUUUGAGCAAAAGUACUCAUUUCUUAAAAAUUGCAAUAAUUAAUUAGAAAAAGUCAAAUAAUGUGAUAUUUAGAGAAUUACGACUAGAAACUUUAUUCAAAAGUAUUUUGAGAUUUUAUGAUAAUUUCCGAACAUUAUUAAAUGAUGUCAUUUAUUUUAUUAAGCAUUCGUUUGGAAGCAUUUUAAUAUAUGUAGACAGUUAAGGAAAAGGAAACCAUAUAGAUCUUCACAACACUGUCUUUGCUCACUUACAUGGCUCACUUCAUUUGCUGUUGUUUUUUACUCUUAAGUGUCAUGCUGUUCAAUAUAUUUACUGACACUGAUGUUAAAAUAAUUGAUUAUUUUACAGCCAGCUUAACUAGUGUGUGGCAAUACUGUUGACUUGUUAGAAAGCCAUUCCUUUGUUGAAGCAGUGGAAGUUGUAGAUAUAUUGUAUUUCCCACCCUGUUGGCCUUGUCUUUGAUAGCCUGAUAUAAUGCAAAAAAACAACAAAAAAUAAUGAGGAAAGAUGACUCUAUAAUCUUUUUCCAUAACUACCUACAGGAAUCUUUUUUAUUGGACAUCCAUGGUAUGUCUAGGCCUGUAUGAUACUGCAAAGAAUGAACAAAGAUAAAAUGCCCCCAUGCCAGGUAGAUGCAUACAGCACCUUUGUCAGGAUUACAAAAACGUAUCUUUUCCAGGCAAACAAAGACCCUAGAAGCAGAACCUGUUGUGCAAAUUGAAAAUGUACCUUCCUGAGUGGAUGUUAAUCUUCGUUUUGAGAAGAUCUAACACUCUAAAUUUUAGUAUCAGCUCUCCUCCUGAAAGCAGGGUGCUUGCAAGCAGUUUCCAAUUUACACAUUCGUAUGCUAUGGGCCUGGAAUCCAGUCACAGUUUUAGCACAUUGUGUUCACAACCUUGCAUGAUUCAUUACUGUUUUCAUGAAAACCAAAUUACAGGCUGUAGAUCUUGAUUCAUUUUUCCAGCAAAUAUUUAGAAACUUCCAUUGUAGGGUAAGCUAAGAUUUUUCAAAGUGUUAAAUUACAUUAGUAAACAAAACAAAAUGAAUAAACUUGGCUUUGCAGCACUUUCCUUGUAGAAAUCAGAGAAAAUACCCGAGGAGAGAUAAGUUUUGAACUAGUAAUGUUUUGUAAAGAUAAAGAAUAAGUUCAUUCUGCAAGAGAACAUAGGAAGUUGUGAAUUGAUAUUUAGCAAGCUUUUGCUAUUUUCUUAUGAUGAUGAUGUUGCAGGUCUUGGACAUAGGAACUGAGGCUCAAAGUGUGGAGUUUAAUCUGACUAACCACAGCAAUGCAAGAAAUGUGUUCAGAGGAUCCUAGAUCCAGUUUCCUUCCAUGGCUUAAUGCAUCUUCAAACCCUCAUCAAAGAAGCUUCUAUUUGCAAUAAUAAAAAUUAACAGAGAGAAUCACAAGAACAAGACACUGAAGAAUGCUCAGCCAUAAAUGGAAUAUGUAUUCUGUACAUGUCCUCCAGAGAGUUAGGGAUCAUUGUGAAAAAGGGGUAAGAAAGGGUGUAGGAGCCAGAGGUAUUGGGUGGCAAUGAAACAAAUAUCUUCCAGAUACCAAAGUAUUUUACUAAUAUCUAUACUAGGCAUCUCUCAAGCAAAUCAAGUCAUGAUUAACCAUCACAAGUAUUUUCUCGGUUACUCAGUUUUUCACAGCUUUGACAAAUACCAGAGGGAAACAACUUAAACAUCUUAAAAGGAUCUGUACAGUUAAACUUAAUUGUCAACUUGACUGGAUUUCUAAUUACCCAAGAUUUGUAAGGUACACCUGUGAUUUGUCUUUGAGGUAAUUUCCAUACAACUUAUUUAGGUUACGAAGACCCAUAGUAAACAUGGGCCAUGCCAUACCAUAAAUUGGAAACAUAAUUGAAUAAUGGUGAGAAGGCAAAAUAAUGAAGAUCCUGAAUUCCAUUUCUCUGAGUCAUUGCCUGCCAUGACAUGAACUAAUUGAUGGGUUGAACAUUGUAAGGCUGUAAGUCAAAAUAAGUAAUCACUUCUCUCAAGAUUUUUGGACUUAGGGACACAAAACUAAUACCAGAAGAUAAGAUUUAUUUUGGGUCAUGACCUCAGAGGCUUCAGUCUGAACUUUGUCUGGGUCUGUCAUGAGGCAAAACAUCAUGACAGAAGGGUAUGGUUAAAAAACGCUGCCCAUGUCAUGGGAACCAGAAUGAAUAGGCAGAGAAGAUAAGAAAAUGCCCCAAAGAAUAGCCCACCAAUGGCCCAAUUCUCUCAGGUAGGAUGAACAGCCUCCCAAAUAGCACAACCAGCUAAGGACCAAGCUUCCAACAUAUGAAUAUUUAGAGGGCAUUUAAUAUUCAAACCAUACCACUACCACUAUAACAGGAAUGGUUAAACAAAGCUGAUCUGUAUGUACCAGAUAAUACUUGAAAUGGAAAGAAAAUAGCCAUAAAUUCCUCUCAGCUGGGAGCCCCUCAUUCUGAAGUGAAUACAUCAUUGCUGAAACAGAAGUGUUUAUACGAAACCCUUCAGAAUUUUAAAGAGAAAAUGUGAGACAAAUCAAUGCACCAUGUACCUGAAAAACAGGAUGGGGGUGAGAGGGGCAAAGUAUUGCAUUUCCUAAUUGUAGAAAGCUACUAAGUUACAACAAAAAUUAAAAUCUUGAAAAUAUCAUUUUUAGAGAAAUUCACUUUAUGAUUGAUGACUUAACUUUCAUGAAGAGACACCUAAAAUAUGAAAUGAAAUUGUUACAAACAUUCCAAAAUAAGGAAAGAAUCUGGGAAUCUGGGAAGCCUUCCUUGCUAUGGCUCUCUGGAUGCAAGUAAAUAAGCUUCUCCUAAGACAGCAGAUCUCAGUUUUUGUUUAUCAACCAUGUGUGUCUGUGACUCUCUCUCUCUCUCUCUCUCUCUCUCUCUCUCUCUGUGUGUGUGUGUGUGUGUGUGUGUGUGUAAGCAUCUAGAUGUAUAUAAUCUUGUGGAAAUAUUAUAUAGGAGAAUGGCAAGAAGAAAGCAGCCUCAUGCAAAGGCAAGUGAGUGAUUUGAGCAUAAAAGGUGACACAGGAGUGAGAAGCAUGAAAAACUUUAGCUUAGAGAUAUGUUCAUUGAACAGUUGACAGACAACUUUUAAAGAUAAUUUUAUUGUAAAUGCUUAUUUCUAUGUUAGAACAAUGCAAAGCUUUGCUGCUGAAUUUCUCCUUGGGAGCUGUUUAAAUCAUACGGUUAGUAAGAUGCAGUGUUCCUCACUUUCCACGUAAGACAUGAGCUGACUCAUAAUGUAACUAAUAACAUGUCUUUCACUUCCUAUUAUGUUUGAAUUAUAUUACGUUUUUAAGGAGAAUUCAGGAGACAGAUUUUUUUCAGUCCUUUCAUUUGUCUGAGAAUAAAAUUCUUAUUGUGGUAAAAUGCCCCAGUGAUGUCCACAUUCUGUCAUAGGAAACUGUGAAUAUGUUCCUUUACAUUUCUAAAAGGAUUCUACAGAUGUGAUUAAGUAUAUUGAAAUUGGAUAUUAUCCUUUAUUAUGUAAGUAAGUAUGAUUUAAUCCCAAAGGAUGGGAGAUAAUAAAUGUCUUCUGUUUAG
rnacentral:lncRNA from 1 species